GACGAACGCUGGCGGCGUGCUUAACACAUGCAAGUCGAACGGAAAGGCCCUGCUUUUGUGGGGUGCUCGAGUGGCGAACGGGUGAGUAACACGUGAGUAACCUGCCCUUGAAUUUGGGAUAACUUCAGGAAACUGGGGCUAAUACCGGAUAGGAGCUCCUGCUGCAUGGUGGGGGUUGGAAAGUUUCGGCGGUUGGGGAUGGACUCGCGGCUUAUCAGCUUGUUGGUGGGGUAGUGGCGUACCAAGGCUUUGACGGGUAGCCGGCCUGAGAGGGUUACCAGCCACAAUGGGACUGAGGGACGGACCAGACUCCUACGGGAGGCAGCAGGGGGAAAUAUUGCACAAUGGGCGGAAGCCUGAUGCAGCGACGCCGCGUGCGGGAUGACGUCCUUCGGGUUGUAAACCGCUUUCGCCUGUGACGAAGCGUGAGUGACGGUAAUGGGUAAAGAAGCACCGGCUAACUACGUG
rnacentral:rRNA from 1 species